CCUACGGGAGGCAGCAGUGGGGAAUAUUGGACAAUGGAGGAAACCCUGAUGCAGCGACGCCGCGUGCAGGAAGACGUAUUUAGGUAUUUAAAACUCUAUCAGCACGAAGGUAAAUGACGGUACGUGACUAAGACGCACCGUCUAAAUACGUGCCAGCAGCCGCGGGAAUACGUAGGGAGCAGGCGUUAUCCGGAUUUACUGGGUGUAAAGGGGGCGUAGGCGGCUUGAUAAGGCAGAGGUGAAAGGCCUGGGCUCAACCCCGGAACUGCCUUGGAAACUGUUGAGCUGGAGUGCAGGUGAGGUAAGCGGAAUGUCUGGUGUAGCGGUGAAAUGCGUAGAUAUUAGGAGGAACACCAGUGGCGAAGGCGGCUUACUGGACUAUAACUGACGUUGAGGCUCGAAAGCGUGGGGAGCAAACAGGAUUAGAUACCCGUGUAGUC
rnacentral:rRNA from 1 species